GUAGCCUGUCCCUUCUCCAGCAAAUCUUCCUGGCCCAGGAAUCAAACCAGGGUUUCCUGCAUUGCAGGCAGACUCUUUACCAACUGAGCUAUGAGGGAAGCCCCUCUUUUCCCUUACCCCCUAUAACUGGUCCCAUUCAAGCCAAGGAGAGUGGCCCAACUGCCUACUCUAAAAGCCCCUCUCUUUGGGGUUUAUGGGACAGUCUUAUAUCAAGCAUCUUCUCUUAAUCAUGGGGUCUCUUUUACAACGUGAUCAGACCUUACAAUAUCCCUGUCUAGUAGGUCAUUUUCAUCCAGGCCUUCGAAAGCCUAAAGCACUUGCCCAUGAUCAGACACAGCUAGGGAGGUGACAGCAGCUUUGAGCUGACCAGUCCUAGAAGAGAAGGGGCAGGACCUGUCUUGGCUCCUGAUGCUAGCUAAGUCAUUCCUAUGUCUGUCUCUAAUUCCCUAUGUGUCCCCCCAAAUCUUAAAUCCAGGAAAUACCAAACUUCCAAUAUAGACAACUUCCAAAGUCUGUUAUUCUGGAGAUGAACUUUGCUUACAAGAAAGACAUUUUUGCUGGGGCCAUCAUAGUUUGGAAUAAAAACGUUACAUUUGGAGUAGAGGACAUGUCCUCCAACCCUCCUUCACCAUUCUAAAUAGCUGCUCUGAUUUGGGGUUAACCACUUAAUUUCUUCGGGACUCAGUGACUUCUUUUGCAAGUUAUGGGAGCGGGUUAAAGCUUCUGGCGCUGCCCCUGAACCGGCUUCCGGAGAGAUCAAAGGAGAUUUGGGCUGUGGAAGGCUCCCUAGAGUCGGGGAUGGGGUAGGGGGUUGGGAGCAGAUGGAGCCAUGAUUAGCUGUGGAUUCCUUUCCCAGCCCUCACUCGUUUAAUCGUGUUUCUUUUGCUUGGCAGAGGGCGCCAAAGGCGACACGCCGGCGGCCAGCUCCAGGCCAAGCCCAGUCCGUCUGCAGGCCCCUUCACCCGGCGAAGGACACAAAGCUGCGGGAGGAGGAUCUUCUUCAGCGCGGACUCAGCACCAGGCCGCCGCCUAGAGGUCGGCGGCGGCCACAGCCCCAUCCGCCAGCGACCUCAGAGCUGCUUCCGCAGCCGACCCACAAAUUGGGAAUAACUUGGAAAUGGACGUGCUUUUGGAAAAACUGUUGAGGGUGAAAGGAAACAUUGCCUAAGUGGCCUUUACUCACUCAUACCAUCAACUAGUGUAUGAGAGACUUUCAGGAGGUUGCUUGUUGGCACCAGCUCCCCUGUUGCUGGGUAUCUGUGGUGAGCAUUUGAAAGUUGACUCUGGGGCCAGGUGACCUCGGGAUGAAAAAGGCUACCCAGCAUCUAUGGUUUCAGGUGCUGGAGGCCCCAUGCAGAGUUUAAUUUUUAAACUGAAAUCCACGGCCUGGGUUCCUGGGAUGGGGUAAAGGGAAACCAGAAAGCCCCCCGAAAAGUGUGUGCAAAAUUAGUGUGUGCUCAGGUAUGUCAUUCUAAGGCUGUAGUCUCUUCCGUUUUUCCAGAUUCCAGAGACUGAGGUCAGCAAUGGGCAGGAAGCCAGCACACUGACCCGUCUCUGCCCGCCCUCACCCCACAGCCUAGGAGGGCAGGGGUGGGCAACGGCACUCUAGAAUGCUGUGGAAACUGCCGCCCCUCUGGUCUGCUCUUCUUCUGUCACUAAUAACUCUCAGAGGCAAAUCCUGAUAGAAGGAAUGACUGUUUAGUGAAAAAAAAAAAAAAUGUACAGCAAGAUGAGGAGUGAAAAGAGGGAAAUGGGGCGCAUGCUGGAGGGGCACCCCAUGCAUAUCCUGGAAUAUGGAUGUUGGGAUAGAAACAAGUUACUUCCUGUCUUCCAGCUGUUAAUGAGCUCCCAGCUUCUUCCUCCUUGGUGAACGGGAAGGGGCCAGAGGGCAUUCCCCACCCCUUGCCAGCUAAAGCAGAGUGGGACUGCCUGAAGCAGAGUUGGCCUUUCAGAAAAUUUGGAAACUGUAAGCCACAGCCUCAUAUUUUUCCUGUCCAUACCACUUUUAAUCCAUUUUUUAAAAAUCCCCAGUAAUGCUUUGGGGCCUUUUCCUGGAGGGGUAGGUGGUGGAGUUCAUGAGUCAUGCAGGGUCAUACCUGUGUGUCUGUGCGAGAAGGUGAGCAUCAGUGCACCAGACCCCCACCU
ensembl:lncRNA